rnacentral:ncRNA from 1 species
CGACCAGAGGGAGGCAUGGGAGCGGGGACCCGGCAGCGCGACGACCACAGAACGGUCGCCGUCCGUCGCGCUGAGCCAAGGGCGAGACCGGUCCUCGGGUGG